CUUCAACUGCAUUCUUUUCGUUGCUUAGAUAGAAACCGUUUUAGUGGGAGAUUCUGAAGGCCAAGUGACAGUUUAUCAGCUGCGGGGUCUUACUUCUGCGAGAGAUAGUCAGGCGCAGAUUCUGGCCAAGUUGAUAAGUUCGAUAGAAAAUCCUUCUGGAUCACCAAGCAAGACCAAGGUAGACGAAAAAUAAACCAAAAUCAAGCGUAUCUCCACUUUGGUACAUGAGUCGAUUCGGCCACAGUUUCUAGGUCUGACGAAUUUACAACUGUUCUCCAUUGUUUCAUGUAAAUACAGGUUGCUUUGAUGUUCAAGUUGCGCUAAAAAUAUGAACAUUUAGCUUGUAUAGCUUAUUUCCUGAGAGCGUUUUGACAAUCAUUUGGGUGAAGACGGAGCUUUGCCCUUUUUUACUUACUUAAAAGGGAAAGACAAAACGUUUCCCGAUAAGAAACAAACCAAACGAAAAUGGUAAAAAACGAACACUCUGAUGUGUAUAUAUAUAUAUAGGUCACCGUCAAAAUGUUUAUUUAUUUUAUACAAGAAAAGUGUUAUAAACAUUUGAAAUCAAUUGUGAAGAAGUAAGACAGUUUCUUCGUCGU